GGCGAGAUGGCCGAGCGGUCUAAGGCGGUUAGUAGCCCAUUACAUCAUCUCUCGCACCAAAACAAAUCACUAACAACCACUCAGCUGGAGUAAGGUUCCAGUCUCGAAAGGGGCGUGGGUUCAAAUCCCACUCUCGUCA
rfam:Aspergillus terreus NIH2624 scaffold_3 genomic scaffold, whole genome shotgun sequence.